UAUUUGCCUAUUUUGUUGAUGUACGUGGGGGGGGCACAAUACCUGAAGGUUAGAGGACAAUUUAUCGGAGUCGGUGCUCUUUUCCCACCAUGUAGGUGCCCAGGGACUAAACCGCCUUUUUUCAGGCUUGGCAGCAAGCACCUUUACCCACCGAUUCAUUCCACCAGCCCUCAUGGGGGAGUCUAAGAGUUUAGCCAGCGGAAAAUAUUAUUGGCACGUGCUUUGGUGUUCAAGGCCUCGCCGAAAUAUUAACCUCCGACUUUGCCCAAGCACUUCUCCGCUGGGCUGGUUCACCGCUAGUCAAAUCCCAAGCCCACAGUGUGUGCCGGAAUCACCUGAUCUUGAAAAAAGGGGAGGAAGGCUCCCAUCCCCUGAAUCUGAAGCCUACGAUUUCGAUGUGCUGAGUCAGAGUCCUCUCAGGGUCAGAAACUUUCACUCCGGAAGAGCCCCGCGGAGCACCACGGUGCGGGCCGCGACUGGUCUGGUGCAUCUGAAUAUGGAUGAGAAGACUCAGAGGAGACAGGGCAUAUCUAUAUCUGGUGGAAGGCAGGGAGCUCAGUCAACACUGUGCCUUCCACAAGUUAGAAGAGCAGCAGCCCUUCCUGAAUCCAGCCUGCUUUGGGAGUCGUGGGAACAAUUGAUCUCUCCAUGCGCUGCUUACUGAGAACUGCAGUCCUUGGACCAACCAGUGCCUGUGACGGAUGAUGGGUGUCUACAUCCUGUGUGCCAGCAACUGCUGGGCGCUUUGUGUCUCGCUCCAUCCUUACUGUGCCCCGUCGUGGAGGAACUGUUGUUCUUCAGGAUCUCCGAGCAGCUGAGCAUUCCCACAGUGCUUGGAGUUGGCGAAGAGUGGGAAUCUGAGUGGGGAAGAGUACCUUGUGACUAAGCGCUCUGGAGGCUGCCUCCACACUCAUAAAAGAGACUAGUCACCAGCAAACCAUGCUAAGUGCAGGAAGAAUGUCACUGACUGAAGUUCUUGCUUACCCUGUGAACAAUGAAGGGGAAAGAGGUGGGGUAGGGUGGGAAGAGAGGGCAGAAAAGCUGUGUGUGUGUGUGUGUGUGUGUGUGUGUGUGUGUGUGUGUGUGUGUCUGGCACGGAGAGACUCAGAAAGAUUUCAAAAAGUUCCCUGUGAGUAAUACCUACAUAUGAAAAUGAAAGGACUUAGCCAUCCAUCAUGGUCUUUACCUAGUUAUAUUGAUGGAUAUCAGAGAGUUGGGCUUUUAAAACACAAAGGCAGGGCCAGUAAGAUGGCUCAGUAGGUAGAGGCACCUACUGCCCAACCUGACUACCCACGGUCUGUCCCUGGAACCCACACAGUGGGAAGAGAGAACUGAUUUCUGCUGUCUGCUGAUGCCCACACCUUGCCAUGAAAAUACCCCACACCCCCUUCACUAAUAAAUAAAUGUAAAAGAAAAAAAAAAAAGAAAACUAAAGACAAACUCCAGCCCCCUAAACUAACGUCUAUUUGUUAUUCUACCUGUGACUAGACCUGGAAGGGGCCAGGUGUGCUCAGGAGAGAACAGGGACUUUCCUGAGGCAGGACGGGGAUCAGAGUUACCCAGCAGAGUGGCACAGCACACCUGAGCUGUAGUUCCAGCCUGCAGAGUGAGUUUUCUGUUUCCACUUCCCCAGAGGCUAAGCAGUGGGGAGGUUCAGGGGACUGGGGAUGCUCUACGGCCUGGACCAAAAGCUGGGGAGGAACCAUGACCACAGCAGCCCUCGGAAGUGAUGGAGGGACGUAGCCCCAGGAAGCGGAGACUAGGAAACUGUGGAAGACAUUGCCUCUGGCAAAGCCUAGGAAGGGCAGAAGUGUUGAGCUGGGUGAAUGAGGUGGAGAGAAGGUGAGGCCCGAGAGGUUGUGAGUCGGGCUGGUUGGUGACCGGUUUCCUGUGCUAUGACCUGAAGCCAGAAAUUACACAUGCUGAGUAAGGGCUCUGUCCGGAACUGUCCCCCUGCCCCACUGUUUAGCACCAUUUUAGGGACUUGGUAUUUUUUAAAAACUUUAAUAACAUUUAUGAAGGGCUAGAGAGAUGACUCAGUGGUUAAGAACAUUUUUUGUUCUUGUAGGGCACCUGAGUUCAGCUCCCAGGACCCACAUGUGGCUGGUGACUGCCAUAGCUCCAGGUCCAGGCAAUCCAAUGGGACAAAUAAACUGAGGUGUCUAUUUAACCUAUCAAAGUGGACCUGGCCAUCAGGUUCUCCCAGAAUCCCUUAGUCUCUAACAUUUUGCAGGGUAUGGCUGCCAUAACCACCCAUCACCAACUCUCCAGCCCAAGGUCAGGGCUGCCCUCAUAUAAUCCAGCCAUUGUGGUUACCUUCCCUGUCAUGUACUAUUCUCCCCUGCUUUUUAAUUUUUUAUUUUUAUUUUUUUACCUUUUGCUCUCUUGGCUGCGAUACCUGGUUCUCUCUCCUCUUUCUUCCCCUCCCCUCUCUCCUCACAUGGUUCAGGGUCAUGUUUACCCCCGACUCCCCCCCCCCCACCUCCAUGUCCCUAUGUCGCUGCCUCUGCCCACGCUUUCCCUUUUACCCACAAUAACCCUUCUCCUCCACCAUACCUAGGAGCAGCCAUGUCCUUUUCAUUUCUUUCUUCAUUCAGUUACUGUGAGAAGUGAUUGGACCCCAGGCAUGCAUGAGGUACAAAGAUAUGUAUGCAAGCAAAGCAGCUCUUACAUACAUACAAUAAAUAAAUAUUUAAAAAACCA